rnacentral:rRNA from 1 species
AACGGCCGUACCAUGCUGAACAUACCGGUUCUCGUUCGAUCACCGAAGUCAAGCAUCAUUGGGCGCGGUCAGUACUUGGGCGGGUGACCACCUGGGAGCACCGCUUGUCGU